GGUUUCGUGGUGUAGUGGUCAGCAAACUCGACUUGUAACCGAGAGGUCCGUGGUUCGAUUCCCGGCGAAGGCG
rnacentral:tRNA from 1 species